CACCUUCAAAUGGUCUUGGGGAUUGCACUCGCAGCCCUUAAAUAACUUGGUGGUAACUGGAACCCACGCAAAGUACAUCUCUGCGAAGGCGACUAGGUAAACACCGUAAACUCUUUGU
rnacentral:misc_RNA from 1 species